AUUGAACGCUGGCGGCAUGCCUUACACAUGCAAGUCGAACGGCAGCACGGGAGCAAUCCUGGUGGCGAGUGGCGAACGGGUGAGUAAAGUAUCGGAACGUGCCCAGUCGUGGGGGAUAACGUAGCGAAAGUUACGCUAAUACCGCAUACGAUCUAUGGAUGAAAGCGGGGGAUCGCAAGACCUCGCGCGAUUGGAGCGGCCGAUAUCAGAUUAGGUAGUUGGUGGGGUAAAGGCUCACCAAGCCGACGAUCUGUAGCUGGUCUGAGAGGGCGACCAGCCACACUGGGACUGAGACACGGCCCAGACUCCUACGGGAGGCAGCAGUGGGGAAUUUUGGACAAUGGGCGAAAGCCUGAUCCAGCCAUGCCGCGUGCAGGAUGAAGGCCUUCGGGUUGUAAACUGCUUUUGUACGGAACGAAAAGGUUUGGCCUAAUAAGCUGAGCUCAUGACGGUACCGUAAGAAUAAGCACCGGCUAACUACGUGCCAGCAGCAGCCGUAA
rnacentral:rRNA from 1 species